CCUACGGGGGGCAGCAGUGGGGAAUAUUGGGCAAUGGGCGCAAGCCUGACCCAGCAACGCCGCGUGAAGGAAGAAGGCUUUCGGGUUGUAAACUUCUUUUGUCAGGGAAGAGGAGAAGACGGUACCUGACGAAUAAGCCACGGCUAACUACGGGCCAGCAGCCGCGGUAAUACGUAGGUGGCAAGCGUUGUCCGGAUUUACUGGGUGUAAAGGGCGUGUAGGCGGGUUGACAAGUCAGAUGUGAAAUCCUGCGGCUUAACCGCAGAACUGCAUUUGAAACUGUUGAUCUUGAGUACUGGAGAGGCAGGCGGAAUUCCUAGUGUAGCGGUGAAAUGCGUAGAUAUUAGGAGGAACACCAGUGGCGAAGGCGGUCUGCUGGACCGCAACUGACGGUGAGGCGCGAAAGCGUGGGGAGCAAACAGGAUUAGAUACCCGAGUAGUC
rnacentral:rRNA from 1 species